GUCAGUGAAAUAUGCAGCUAUGAUCGGUAACAACCCAGAGAUGAUGGCGAGACAGAGACAGGUAAAGAGAGUGUGCAUACGUGAGGGUGUGUGUAUAUGAGAGAGCGAGAGAGAAAGAGAGGUCUUUGGGUUUGUGUGUAGGUAGGGGCUUGGAUUGGAUUGUGUGUGCAUCUCUGCGUGUGUGUGUGAGCGUCUCUUUGUGUGUGUGUGCGUGCGCCAAAGUGUGCAGUGGAGCAGCAAGGCUCGGGGAAUGGACGUGAUGUGACACUGGCUGGCUAGUCUGCUCUACACUCAGGGCGGCACAGCUGGUAUCAGUGCCUACAAUCAGCAAAGGCGAUAGGACUCCUAUCAACAGACAACUCCCUGGGAGGAGACAGACGCUAUGACUAAACUAAAGGGCACCGGUAAUGUCAUUAACGCAGUGACACAGGGCUUUCAGGGGAGCACAUUCACACUGAGAAACUGCAGUCAAAGGAGCCAAAAUGGAGGAGGGUUCUGAGGUAAAAACACAAUCAGAAGGCACAACGAUCCCGACUUCACUGUUGAGGGAUGACCGUCGCAUAGGAGUGACGCCACCUGUCGGAAGACAAUACAUCAAGAGCUGUUUUAAAGAACCAAGUUGGAGACAGGAAGCAGCUGGACGAUCGAUGGACACAACACAGGGAUUUACCACAACGUGUCUCCACUCCACUGUCCAUCCAUUGACCCC
rnacentral:lncRNA from 1 species